rnacentral:lncRNA from 1 species
UCUGGUCUCUCCUUCAAGCCCCGUUCUCAGUUUCUGAGCAUGAUGGAUUUUUCCUAAACAUCAGCAUGGAGUAUAUAGUAUGGUGUAUCAUCACCUACCUGUUGAUUGACAACUAAAUACUGAAGUCUCUAAAGGAAUCGACUACUCAAUAUGAAAUUAGGAAAUGUGCUAUUUAAGAAUAUAAUCAGCAUUCUAGAUGAGAAUGAUAUGAUUAAUAGAAUACAUACAUAGAACCAUUAACUUUGAGCACAUAUUCUUCUACAAGCGACAACAAUGUUUAAUUUAUCCGAAGUUCCAUAAGACUAGAAAAAACAGCAUGUCUUCUAAUGCUCCAAAUAUGAAGUGGCAAAGAAGAGUACAUCGCUUGGCACAUUUUUUAAACCGAGUGACAAUUGUAGAGGAAAUUCUAAAAUGUUCAGAGAAACAAAGGUAAAGUGCUACAUCGUUAGGCCAUCGCUUUAAUCUAAAAUUGUGGAAGUGUUGACAGUAGUGUUCAGGGCAAGAAUUAUUGGAUGAUCCUAUCCUUCUCCUCUAUUCGGCUUCAAGAUCUAAAAACUGUGAUCGGUCAUGCCCUGGAACCGAGUGAUAGAGCUUAGAGGUUAGAAACAAUAAGCAAAAAAGUCCAAGUCAUAUGCUAGGGGGUGGUGCAUAGAAGGUGAACAGUGAUACAUUAUCAUAUAACAAUAUUUUUCUCAAAACCCAAUUGCUUUUGUAUCAGUACGAGUAUAUAAGCUUUUUAACUUUUCAUUUACAUAUGUAUCCAUACAGUGGCUAGUUGAAUACAUUUGACCGCCAGCAAACAUUAAACUACUGCAGGCAGCAGCGAAAAUGAAUAUUUGCUGCCACUAAUUGAACAUGGGAAAACUGAAACACUUAACAUUAGCGACUUUAUCCGGUGGAUUCAUUUAAUGAACCAAGGACCACAAAAUAGAUAUGAGUGAUCAGCCCUUUAAACUAGUGUUACACAAUCACAUGAAUUGGUACAGACAUUAUGCAAUCACAUUAUAACUCCCCUGUAUUUUUCCUUUAAGCAUUUGAAAACUGACAAACUCAAUACAUCAGAUGAACGAUAUGGAUUCCUGAUCCUAAUUUGCGAAUUCCAUUGUGUGACGAAUGUAUCUAAAGAGAAAAUACGUAAUCCGAUCUUCCAACAACAGAACAAAUGAAUACUACUAAAUGAAAGUACAUUUCUCAUCAGCUGCACCAACUCUGAACAUCAUGAUGUCAAAUGAGAUCAUCUCUAUGGGGCAGGUCAGUGUGAACAAAUAAAAUCACUCACGGCAUAUUUUUCAUCCUCCGCCACUACUGAUGAGAGGACCACCGAUAUAGAGAAUAUUUUUCACUGCAAAAAAAAUGCACAUCAUAUGCCAUACGAGUGACUCGGAUAGGAAGCGCGGACAUCUAAUCCUAAAAUCAAAUAAGCAAAAUAAAAAAACAAACACGAGAUAAUGGCCCAGAUGCUUAUAACGAAUGAGGCGCUGCCUCUUCCACUUUGCAGAGGGUCUCCGUCUCCGCUCCCAUCAAAACUGACCUGAAGAGCGAAGGAAUCGGCAUGAGCGCGAGAGCCCUAUAUGCUGCGCUGGAUUUGGACUAGCAAGAGUGGAUGGGGGAGUGCCAUGGUGGCUGGUGGCGGUAGGAGAGAUGCCCUAGGCGGCGGAGGUGCGAAUAGUAUUGACGAAGAAGCGAACAGAACAGAACAUAUAUAUGAGAUAUGCACUUCGUUGCUGAAUUAUGAAAUAAACCAGGGUGUUUUUUGCAUGCAUUGCGAUGCCAGAUGAGCCAGCUCAAUCAUGUGCCUCCGGUCCAGAAC